rnacentral:rRNA from 1 species
GGGUGCGAUCAUACCAGCACUAAUGAAACGGAUCCUAUCAGAACUUCGCAGUCAGGCAUGCUUGCGCGAGAGUAGUACUAGGAUGGGUGACCUCCUGGGAAGUCCUCGUGUUGCACCCC